UCCGUAGGUGAACCUGCGGAGGGAUCAUUACUGAGUACUACACUCUCUACCCUUUGUGACUAUUAUACCUGUUGCUUCGGCGGCGCCCGCGAGGGUGCCCGCCGGUCUCAUCAGAAUCUCUGUUUUCGAACCCGACGAUACUUCUGAGUGUUCUUAGCGAACUGUCAAAACUUUUAACAACGGAUCUCUUGGCUCCAGCAUCGAUGAAGAACGCAGCGAAACGCGAUAUGUAAUGUGAAUUGCAGAAUUCAGUGAAUCAUCGAAUCUUUGAACGCACAUGGCGCCUUCCAGUAUCCUGGGAGGCAUGCCUGUCCGAGCGUCGUUUCAACCCUCGAGCCCCCGUGGCCCGGCGUUGGGGAUCUGCCACGGCAGGCCCCUAAAACCAGUGGCGGACCCGAAGGCCCUCUCCUUUGCGCAGUAGCAUCAGCCUCGCAUUGGGAUCCCUCGGCGUCCUGCCUCUAAACCCCCCACAAGUCCGCUCCGGCGGCACCAAGGUUGACCUCGGAUCAGGUAGGAAUACCCGCUGAACUUAAGCAUAUCAAUAAGCGGAGGA
rnacentral:rRNA from 1 species